AAUACUUAGGAAUCUGCCUAUUAGUGGGGGACAACAUUUCGAAAGGAAUGCUAAUACCGCAUACGCCCUACGGGGGAAAGCAGGGGAUCUUCGGACCUUGCGCUAAUAGAUGAGCCUAAGUCAGAUUAGCUAGUUGGUGGGGUAAAGGCCUACCAAGGCGACGAUCUGUAACGGGUCUGAGAGGAUGAUCCGUCACACUGGGACUGAGACACGGCCCAGACUCCUACGGGAGGCAGCAGUGGGGAAUAUUGGACAAUGGGGGCAACCCUGAUCCAGCCAUGCCGCGUGUGUGAAGAAGGCCUUUUGGUUGUAAAGCACUUUAAGCGAGGAGGAGGCUCCUGUAGAUAAUACCUAUAGUGAGUGGACGUUACUCGCAGAAUAAGCACCGGCUAACUCUGUGCCAGCAGCCGCGGUAAUACAGAGGGUGCGAGCGUUAAUCGGAUUUACUGGGCGUAAAGCGUGCGUAGGUGGCCAAUUAAGUCAAAUGUGAAAUCCCUGAGCUUAACUUAGGAAUUGCAUUCGAUACUGGUUGGCUAGAGUAUGGGAGAGGAUGGUAGAAUUCCAGGUGUAGCGGUGAAAUGCGUAGAGAUCUGGAGG
rnacentral:rRNA from 1 species